AGAGUUUGAUCCUGGCUCAGGAUGAACGCUGGCGGCGUGCCUAAUACAUGCAAGUCGAGCGAACGGACGAGAAGCUUGCUUCUCUGAUGUUAGCGGCGGACGGGUGAGUAACACGUGGAUAACCUACCUAUAAGACUGGGAUAACUUCGGGAAACCGGAGCUAAUACCGGAUAAUAUUUUGAACCGCAUGGUUCAAAAGUGAAAGACGGUCUUGCUGUCACUUAUAGAUGGAUCCGCGCUGCAUUAGCUAGUUGGUAAGGUAACGGCUUACCAAGGCAACGAUGCAUAGCCGACCUGAGAGGGUGAUCGGCCACACUGGAACUGAGACACGGUCCAGACUCCUACGGGAGGCAGCAGUAGGGAAUCUUCCGCAAUGGGCGAANGAGUAACACGUGGAUAACCUACCCAUAAGACUGGGAUAACUUCGGGAAACCGGAGCUAAUACCGGAUAAUAUUUUGAACCGCAUGGUUCAAAAGUGAAAGACGGUCUUGCUGUCACUUAUAGAUGGAUCCGCGCUGCAUUAGCUAGUUGGUAAGGUAACGGCUUACCAAGGCAACGAUGCAUAGCCGACCUGAGAGGGUGAUCGGCCACACUGGAACUGAGACACGGUCCAGACUCCUACGGGAGGCAGCAGUAGGGAAUCUUCCGCAAUGGGCGAAAGCCUGACGGAGCAACGCCGCGUGAGUGAUGAAGGUCUUCGGAUCGUAAAACUCUGUUAUUAGGGAAGAACAUAUGUGUAAGUAACUGUGCACAUCUUGACGGUACCUAAUCAGAAAGCCACGGCUAACUACGUGCCAGCAGCCGCGGUAAUACGUAGGUGGCAAGCGUUAUCCGGAAUUAUUGGGCGUAAAGCGCGCGUAGGCGGUUUUUUAAGUCUGAUGUGAAAGCCCACGGCUCAACCGUGGAGGGUCAUUGGAAACUGGAAAACUUGAGUGCAGAAGAGGAAAGUGGAAUUCCAUGUGUAGCGGUGAAAUGCGCAGAGAUAUGGAGGAACACCAGUGGCGAAGGCGACUUUCUGGUCUGUAACUGACGCUGAUGUGCGAAAGCGUGGGGAUCAAACAGGAUUAGAUACCCUGGUAGUCCACGCCGUAAACGAUGAGUGCUAAGUGUUAGGGGGUUUCCGCCCCUUAGUGCUGCAGCUAACGCAUUAAGCACUCCGCCUGGGGAGUACGACCGCAAGGUUGAAACUCAAAGGAAUUGACGGGGACCCGCACAAGCGGUGGAGCAUGUGGUUUAAUUCGAAGCAACGCGAAGAACCUUACCAAAUCUUGACAUCCUUUGACAACUCUAGAGAUAGAGCNNNNNNGGCGAAGGCGACUUUCUGGUCUGUAACUGACGCUGAUGUGCGAAAGCGUGGGGAUCAAACAGGAUUAGAUACCCUGGUAGUCCACGCCGUAAACGAUGAGUGCUAAGUGUUAGGGGGUUUCCGCCCCUUAGUGCUGCAGCUAACGCAUUAAGCACUCCGCCUGGGGAGUACGACCGCAAGGUUGAAACUCAAAGGAAUUGACGGGGACCCGCACAAGCGGUGGAGCAUGUGGUUUAAUUCGAAGCAACGCGAAGAACCUUACCAAAUCUUGACAUCCUUUGACAACUCUAGAGAUAGAGCCUUCCCCUUCGGGGGACAAAGUGACAGGUGGUGCAUGGUUGUCGUCAGCUCGUGUCGUGAGAUGUUGGGUUAAGUCCCGCAACGAGCGCAACCCUUAAGCUUAGUUGCCAUCAUUAAGUUGGGCACUCUAAGUUGACUGCCGGUGACAAACCGGAGGAAGGUGGGGAUGACGUCAAAUCAUCAUGCCCCUUAUGAUUUGGGCUACACACGUGCUACAAUGGACAAUACAAAGGGCAGCGAAACCGCGAGGUCAAGCAAAUCCCAUAAAGUUGUUCUCAGUUCGGAUUGUAGUCUGCAACUCGACUACAUGAAGCUGGAAUCGCUAGUAAUCGUAGAUCAGCAUGCUACGGUGAAUACGUUCCCGGGUCUUGUACACACCGCCCGUCACACCACGAGAGUUUGUAACACCCGAAGCCGGUGGAGUAACCUUUUAGGAGCUAGCCGUCGAAGGUGGGACAAAUGAUUGGGGUGAAGUCGUAACAAGGUAGCCGUAUCGGAAGGUGCGGCUGGAUCACCU
rnacentral:rRNA from 1 species